CGGGGCUGGGCGAGCCGGUGGCGCCACCGGGGGUCAGCGGCCCCUGCUCGGCCUCGAUGACGGCGAGGAUCUGCUGCUCGAAGUCGGUGAGCCGGGCC
rnacentral:tRNA from 1 species